rnacentral:rRNA from 1 species
AUUGAACGCUGGCGGCAGGCCUAACACAUGCAAGUCGAGCGGAUGCAGGGAGCUUGCUUCCGGAUUCAGCGGCGGACGGGUGAGUAAUGCCUAGGAACCUGCCUGUUAGCGGGGGAUAACGUCCGGAAACGGGCGCAAAUACCGCAUACGCCCUGAGGGAGAACGUGGGGGAUCUUCGGACCUCCCGCUAUCAGAUGAUCCUAGGUCGGAUUAGCUAGUUGGCGGGGUAAAGGCCUACCAAGGCGACGAUCCGUAACUGGUCUGAGAGGAUGAUCAGUCACACUGGAACUGAGACACGGUCCAGACUCCUACGGGAGGCAGCAGUGGGGAAUAUUGGACAAUGGGCGAAAGCCUGAUCCAGCCAUACCGCGUGUGUGAAGAAGGUCUUCGGAUUGUAAAGCACUUUUAGUUGGGAGGAAGGGCAGUAAGUUAAUACCUUGCUGUUUUGACGUUACCAAAAGAAUAAGCACCGGCUAACUUCGUG